AAACACUACAGUCAUACUUCCAUAUUUUCAAUAUAUACUUAUUCUCUUUCGGACUUCUGAGACUGCUUUUUUGUAAAGUUUUAUUCCACAGUGAAACAUUGUAAGGGUUUUAAGUCUUCAGCUGUAGUUAAUUGGAAGAGAACAGUGUUUCCCUGCAUCACUGAACAGUAGCACUCAGAAUAGCAUGCAGCUGAUGCCAUUUAAAAACGUAAUACCGAACAAAACCAAGUUUGUUGUUUAUUACUAAAGCUGUUAUCUGUUUUCAAGUUCUAUCCUUUUCUGAAACUGCACUCUGUGCAGAUCUUGCAGUGUGUGAAGUCUCCAUUAACAGUGGGAACUGGGCACACCAAGCAUUUGUGAAAUUAGACUUGAACAAAGUCUGUUAUGCAUAGGGAAUGUUCAGAUAUCUAAAUUAUCAAAAUACAGGACGUUCUUGUUCAUUUUCCCUUCUGAUGACUUGAAGGUAUGUGAGUAAGCCUGUAGAAGUAAUGAUAUUAACUUUUUUUUAAGGCAUUUUUACAGACUGUCUAGGGGAGUAGUUUAAGCAUGUCUCUUGUAUUAAAGGUGAAGUGGAAUUUUCUGGGCAUUUACCUUAUAGACUCAAUGUUGUGAGGACUUGUGCGCAUUUAACUUUGAGCAGAUGGGCAGACACCAAUAAAAAUACAGUGAGUUUCUUGCAUGCUUAAAGUAAAGCACAAGUCUCUUUCAGAGUCAGGCUGUGUGUGUAAAAUCUUUGCUAUGAAGAAUGCUAGGAAUGAUCUCUUGUUUCUUGCUAUAUUGUUUAGUAAGCAUUUGUUUGUAAGCUCUUGUUUUAAAUAUAGAACUUGUAAAGCAUCCAUGUUUGAUGUUUCAAGUCCUAUUUGUGAGAUCUUCAGCAGGAAAAUUAUUUAAAUUAAUGGCAGGAAUUCCUGCAACAGAUGGUCCUUCAUUGGUGUCAUGACAAUCAGUGUGGUCUGUAUAAUGCUUCCUUUCCUCUUUAAAGGCUGAAUGGAAACUUGAAUGUCUCUUAAUUAAUGUCAUUGUAAAGUUUUAAAGGUUAGGAAAUGGACUGCUGAGGUAUUGAUGUGAACUGAAUCUAUUUAAACAUUCAAUUGUGAAUUUGUUUUAUACACAUGUUUGAAUUGUUUUAUUCUGAAGAACAAAAUGUGCUCAGAUUUAAGUGACAGUAAAGCAGAUGUUGUAAUAUUCUACAGGAACUGUGGAAUGUGUAAUCGGCUUUCUGUAUUUGAUCACAGAAAACAAAAGUCUAAGAAGCACACGUUGCCAGGUUCACUGAAUUUCUUAAACAUUGUAUGUCUGAGCCUAAUGCAUUACAGAAAUGGACGUUCCCCUUCACUACAGUGAUUAUUAGAGAUUUGCCUUGCCGUAAUAUACAGGAUAAAUCCCAUGAAUCUUACUGUCAUGAGGGAGCUACUGCUAUAACGUGCUGAGAAAGACUUCUUUUCCUAAAAGUUUCAAUUUAUGUUCUUUAGACUUAAGCAUUUCUCCU
rnacentral:lncRNA from 1 species